AAAAAAUUUAAAUGGUUACUUCCUCAUACCUGCAAUUCCGUAGCUGGGGAAGCAAAAAACAGAAAUUUGGUCUCUGGUAGUGGGUCCACUUCCACCCCAUUUCAGACUCUACAGACCAAGCUUGCCUGCAGCCUGUACCUCCAAAAUGUGGAGGUGGGGAGGUCUAAGAAAGAGGGGGAUCACUUGCAAAUAUAAGGAAAUCAGACGCACCCGGUGCUACAGAAAUGGGCCAGGAGAAAACUCAGCAUUUUGACUGGGAUUUUGUUCCAACCAAGCAACUCUCUUCUACUUUCGUUGUGUACGGUUGGCACCAGGUGGAGGACAAUCAUUGGCACAGUGCUCUUGGCUCCUCUCCAUCCUCUCACUCCCUCCGCACUGACUGAUGAAAACCAAAGGAAGAGGGACAAGAAAUUAAGACGUGUUUAUCUUAAGACGAGAGAGACAAAGUCAGAUCUCUUGAAGACAACCAUAUCUGCUUAAUGCCAUAUGCAAUAGAAAACUCUUCAAAGAACUACAGGGGGCCGGGCGCAGUGACUUAUGCCUGCAAUCCCAGCACUUUGGGAGGCUGAGGUGGGCAGAUCACUUGAGAUCAGGAGCUCAAGACCAGCCUGACCAACAUGGUGAAAUCUGUCUCUACUAAAAUACAAGAAUUAGCUGGGUGUGGUGGCUCACGCCUGUAAUCCCAGCUACUCGGGAGGCUGAGGCAGGAGAAUCGCUUGAACCUGGGAGGCAGAGGUUGCAGUGAGCCAAGAUCACACCACUGCACUCCAGUCUGGGGGACAGAGCAAGACUCUGUCUCAAAAAAUAAAUAAAUAAAUAAAUAAAAGAAAUAUAGGGGAACAACCCAGCAUCAGCCCACAUGAAACUAUUAGGUUAGCUGCUAUAACAAAUAAACCACCAAGUUUUAACAGCUUAACACCUUAAGAACUGAGCUAUCUACGUAACAGUCCAAAGCUGUUAUUUCUGAUUGGUGGGUAGUUUUGCCCAUAUGGUGAUUAAGGGACCUGUUCCCUCCACCCGUGGCUCACCAGCCCCUAGACCUCAAAGGUUUCCGCAUUCACUGGCAGACAGGAAAUGACAAUAGAAGAAGCCCAGCCUGUAUCUUAAAAGCCCUGACCCAGAAGUUAGUGGCAUUCCAUCUGGUCUCAUUCAGUUGGUGAGAAGAGUCUUAUGGCUACCCCUAGAGAGAAAAUAGAAGAUAAAGUCCCUGACUGGACAUCUCCUCCCAGCAACAACUCCACACUAUGCAAAGCAGAAUACAAACUUUCAGUGGAUUGACAUUCAUCUCUACCAAAGAGCUCUUUUCUAAUUCACAUGAAGGUGAUUUCCUCCUUGCUAAAGCCCUGGAAAUCUAAAUUGGAAAGAAAGUUAGAAAUCUACUGUGACAUGCUACAAAUGCAGAUGUGCCACAAACACCACAGAAUGGUCAUCCAGCCAGUGCCAGAUCAUCAUGAGAAAGUUUUGUUAGAAAAGUUUUCCUUUCAUAGUCCCAGGUGAGCCAUCUGUUGCAACCCAGGAUCCAACCCCCAGUGUGACUGUAUUUGGAGACAGAGCCUUUAUGAAGGUAAUUAAAGUUAAAAGAGGUCACGGGGUGGAGCCCUGAUCCAAUAGAUUUAGCGUCCUUGUAAGAAGAGACACGAAAGAGCAAGCUCUCUCUCCAUCUUGUGAGGACACAGUGAGAAGGUGGCCAUCUGCAAACCAGAAAGUAAGUGCUCCCUCACCAGGAACUGAACUGGCCUACACCUUGAUCUUGGACUUCCCAGCCUCCAGAACUGUGAGGAAAUACAUUUCGGUUGGUAAAUUUUUAUGGUAUUUUGUAAUAGCAGCCUGAUCUGACUAAUACAAACAUCAUGGCCCAACAAAAUUGUCUUUAUUACUGUGCAUUGGUAAUUAACCUCAUCGUUGAGCUUUUGAGCAAUUGCACCAUUGAUACCCCUGUUCACUGUUAUCAAGAUGUGGAAGAAGAGACAGUGCUUUUUCACUGACUUCCAAAUGUUCCAGAGCUACUUUUCCUUCUAGGCAUUUUUUAUUCUUCUCUACACCCUGCUGAUGACACUGCCUGUUCAUCUUUGGGGCCAAAGUGGUUCACACACACUCAGUCAAGAAUGCAGUAUGCACUUAGUAAAUAUGGACAGAGCUAAUGACACACACGUGGUGGGGAUGGCAGGGAAAUUUUUUGGUGCAUAAUUGACAUAGAGUCAGAAGUCAGAAAGGCAGAUGGAAAUAAAGAAAGGAGUGUGGAAGGGACUUGAUGAGAACAUCUUAAUCUAUGAAACCCAAAGAUAUUUGCUGUAGGCCUAGAAUGUAAAUUCAAAUUAAAUCAAGCACAACAACUCAAAGCAAAAACUCCUCAUAAACAAUCUCCCACUGACUUCAAAGGUAGAUUUGGGCCACAGGGCAGAGAGGAAAAGAGGUUAUGGAAUGUACCAGAAGCUUUGCAUUUGUCUACUGCAGAGUAGAAUUAAACCCUGGAGGUUACUGACAUCCCCCUGGGUCUUCGUGAUCCCAUAGGACAGGUUGGACAGUCCUCCACUGUCCAAAUGUUAGCGUCCCUCUGAAUGCUCAUUUUAAUUGGAAUCUCUGGGUACAUGCGCUCCUCUAGUUCAAGGGCUCUGGGUGCAUAAGUGGAAACAAAGCUUGCUACAGAACGUACCUCCCUCCCUCUUGGUUCAGGAACAUAUUUCAAAAUGCCACUUUAUUAGCAGCUAAACAAAAACACCUCUUCGACAGGGAUGAGGGAGCGUGGAGUAAACAUGUCAUCCCUACCUAUUGUUCUGCAGAGUCGAAAUUCUCCUAAGAUUGAUUAUAAAAGGCAGUUAUAGAGGAAACUGUUUGAGUCUGCUGAAUUAAAAACAAACAGUGAGGCAUUCAACGACGAACAGAUCUGAUGGAUUAAAAUGCACCGAAGAAAGACAUCUCAAGCGAUGCCUGAAUAGGCCAAGUCAGAAUGAGAGGAAAUUUGGCCUGCAAUUUCCAAUCAAGGGAAAACUGGCAAAGCAACAGAAUUUGAGGCUUCCUCAGAUUUACACUUUAUCUGCUAAUUAGCAUUAACAUGCGUGGUAGAGGUAUCUCACCAGCUUGUGGCACAAUAAAAAACGGAAUGUGUUAUCACCACAGAAUGUGUAAUUACUUUAAGCACUGGCUGAAAAUUGCAGGGUACUUCAUUUCAGAAUUUGUAUAUAUUUAUUGUUAGAGAUAAACUUGUUGAAGUAUAUCUAAUCUAAUUUUAUGUUAUAAUUCCUGUUUAAGAUAAUUUUAGUGUCAGCAAGCCAAGAACUGAAGUAAAUACUGCCGUAAAUUGUAAUACAUUAAAAUACCAGAGAAAUACUUCCAUUCAGCCGUGACUUGAUUUGCUUAUUGUUUAAGGACAAAAAAUAAAAAAUUCUCAGAUUACAUCAACAUUGGAAAUAUAUACUGUUGGGUUGCCCCUACCAUGCAGGCCAUGCAGCUGAUGAAGUUUGCUAACCUUGACUCGCCCAGUUCCCUGGAAGUGUGAAUCACUUUUAAAAGAAUUGUAGAUUUCCGUUUCCCUUAGGUAAGAUUUAUUAUUUUUGUAAAAAUCUCCUUAAAUUGCUCUGUAUGUUCCCACAAGGGAAAUGCAUUAGGACAGAUUAUUUGGCUUUAAAUCAUAACUAGGUUAAUAUUUGUUGUGAGUUUGAUUUAAGACCUUGUUUAAAUUCCUCCUUAAAUUGUUAAGCAAGACAAUUUGGGGCUAUGAAAAGGAAACUAUACUGUGUUUUUCAGUAAUAUGAUAUUAUGGCACAGACUACCAAAUCAUGCAAAAGCAAUUUCUGAUUUUUCUACUAAUAGGGGAUUAUAGCUAAAGCAUUGUCGGCAUACAGACUGUGUAUUCUUUUAGCAACCUUCUAUCAAGCCUGCAAAACUUGGAAAAAUGUGGAGAUAAUGCUGCCUCCGAGGAGGGAAUGCUGGAUCUAACACUAUUUUUGUUUGGUAACUAUCAAUUUCUCUGCCUUUUUAUGCCCUUGUUUCACCAGGAGAGAGAAGAGAGAGGGGGGAAAAAAGGAUAUACAAGGAUGCAUGGUUCACAAUGCCAAUGCCUGUAUUCAUAUAAUUUGUGUUAAUAAGAUGUAAAAACCUUCUUACGUUUUCUCCCAGUUGUCUGUCUACUGUUCCUCUGAGGAAGGCAUGAAAUUAAGGAUCCCAUUGGAUAGAUCUUAUUAUGAUUCAUCUGGAAAGAGCCCUAGGAUUUUAAUGUCUGCCCGUUGCCCUCCCUGUUGUGUGAAAAAUGGUGGGAGCUAAUGAGCCCUUGAAUGACUCUGGCCAUCUCAGAACACUGAUGUAUUGGUUGUCUAAGAGCCUUCUUCCUACGUGUAGCAAUAAUGAAGCUACAUAAAUGGAAAGUCCUGAAACUUCGAAAUUCUUUUUCUGGAGAAGUAGCUUCACACAGCACAUUUAAAGCACAACUGAAUUUUUCUUUUCAUGGCUGCUUUUUUAACAUGGAAAAUUUAUAUUUUCUGUAAUACUGAUUCCUAAUUAAUAUCUUAGCACCAAGUUCAGCAUAUUAAAGGCAGGACUGGUAUAUAAACAAAACCUGAGUGGCUCUGUGAUAGAAUAGGAGUGAGCAGACUUGAGAUCUUCCCUAGAGCUGAGGGAAACCAGGAAGGGGCAACGGUAGCAGCAAUUCAUGUGGUUUACUCUAGUGGCCAAAAGCAUUGAAAAGGUGUUAGCCCUGCUGCUCUGGCUAGACGCCAGUGAAGUAUUUAUAAGAUGCUGCCUCUGAUUCCUUCUAUGACUGUAAAAGUUUGGGGGAGAAGGGGACCUUUCUUUCCAGGCCUCAUUCCUUGCCUCUUGAGCAGUGCUGUGAUGUGUCCGGGGAAGCAGCUAUCCUUAUUUCACCUCUGAAGCUGUUUCACCUCAAAGAGGCUAUGAUUUCCCCUAAUGCAAUAGCUGGCCAUUCUCUUGCUGAAUGUGGAAAGUACUUUGGAAUCCUAUGGCAAGAAAGCAACUAAAGACAAUUUGAAGUCACAACUGUCCACAUCAUGUGAAAAUCAACACUCUUUUCCAAACCAGCAGCUAGAACAAGAAGUUGACUUGAGGAUGUUGACUCAAUACUGAUGGGUAAUUUUAGGACCUUUUCUAGGGAUACCUCCUGUCUUAGUCCAUUCAAGCUGCUAGGACAAAAUACUAUAGACUGGUGACUUAUAAAUAACAAACAGUUAUUGCUGAGUUCUGCAGUCUGGGUAGUCUAAGAUCAAGGUUCUAGUAGACCCAGAGUCUGGUGAGGUCUUACUUUCUUGUUCAUAGAUGGUUCUAUGUCUUCUCACUGUAUCCUCACAUGGUAGAAGGGGUGAGAGAGCUUACUGAGGUCUCUUUUAUAAGGGCAUUAAUCUCAUUCAUGAGGGCUACAUUCUCAUAACCUAAUCACCUCGCCAGAGCCCCACCUCCUAAUACCGUCACAGUAAUGAUUAAGUUUCAACAUAUGAAUUUUGUGGGGACACAAACAUUCCAUCUAUAGUACCUUCACAUGCAAACUAUUUCCAAAAUAAGACUUUCUGUGUGUGCAUGGGGACUUACCACAGUUCAUAAGAAGCAGUAUGAGCUGUUGGGCAUAAACAGAGCUUUCUUU
rnacentral:lncRNA from 1 species